GCCCCUGUAGCUCAGUUGGAUAGAGCACUGGCCUCCGAAGCCAGGAGCCCGCGUUCAAGUCGCGGCAGGGGUA
rnacentral:tRNA from 1 species